rnacentral:rRNA from 1 species
GACGGAGGGUGCUAGCGUUGUUCGGAAUGACUGGGCGUAAAGGGCGCGUAGGCGGCUCGUGAAGUCGGGUGUGAAAGCCCGGGGCUCAACCCCGGAACGGCAUCCGAUACUGGCGGGCUCGAGACCGGGAGAGGAGGGUGGAAUACCCAGUGUAGAGGUGAAAUUCGUAGAUAUUGGGUGGAACACCGGUGGCGAAAGCGGCUCUCUGGCCCGGAUCUGACGCUGAGGCGCGAAAGCGUGGGGAGCAAACAGG